rnacentral:tRNA from 1 species
GUGCGGGUAGUUUUAACCGGGCAAAACCACCGGUUUGCAACCGGAUGACUCGGGGUUCAAAUUUCACCCCAAUAUAUGGGAUGGAUGGAUGUCCCCGCCCGUACA